rnacentral:lncRNA from 1 species
AGGUUGCUGGAGAGCAGCUGUAUGUUCCCAGUGGACCACCCUGUGUCAAACGGACCAUAUGAACUCUGACACACACACACACUGAUUGGUUCAUCAUCCUUCAGGAUCAUGACUGUUUUUAAUAUCUCUACUAUAGGAACUUUAACCCCUGAUGUGGGCAGGGUCAGAAGUGAUCACGACCUUUGUGUCCUUAGCCCAGUGCAUUAUGGGUGGAGCUGCCAUACCUUAGCUCUGCCCACUGACGACACCAGCCCUCCCCUGAUUGGGACAAUUCCAGAACUGUGUACUGAAGACUUGUUAGCUCCCCAAGUUAAUGCCUUGGACCGUUACUGACCUGGUGACCGGACCGUUACUGACCCGGGGGACUGACCCGGGGGGCUGAACCGUUACUGACCCGGGGGGCUGGACCGUUACUGACCCGGGGGACUGGACCGUUACUGACCCGGGGGGACUGGACCGUUACUGACCCGGGGGGACUGGACCGUUACUGACCCGGGGGGACUGGACCGGGACUGACCCGGGGGGACUGGACCGGGACUGACCCGGGGGGACUGGACCGUUACUGACCCGGGGGGACUGACGUCAGUGUUUUAGAAUGGACUGGACCGGUUCUGACCCGGGGAACUGGACCGGUAUUGACCCGGAGGGACUGACGUCAGUGUUUUAGAAUGGACCGUGAUGGGCUCUGCUAGCAACAACUAGGCUGUGUUCACCACUACUCUGCAGCUCUGUGUUUAGUGCCAUGAUGAUGAUGGUGGUGGUGGUGGUAGUGCCAUGAUGAUGAUGAUGGUGGUGGUGGUAGUGCCAUGAUGAUGAUGAUGGUGGUGUUGAUGAUGAUGCCAGGUAGGCUGUGUUCAGGACCACUACUCAGCGAAUGUGUCAACGGUUUGGAAUGAUCUGUACCAUACUGAAAUAUGUCCGUCAUUAAGAAGACUGUGUGAAUGCAAGAGAUGCCUCCAUUAUCCCUGUUCUCUCUUGGUCUCCUCCCUCCUCUGGUCUCCUCCCUCCUCUGGUUCUCUCUUGGUCUCCUCCCUCCUCUGGUCUCCUCCCUCCUCUGGUCUCCUCCCUCCUCUGGUUCUCUCUUUACUAACCAUGAAACAUGAAGAGAACUGAUCAUGUGAUCAGUCUGGGGGGGGUAAAUGUAGAAACUGAUCAUGUGAUCAGUCUGGGGGGGGGGGUAAAUGUAGAAACUGAUCAUGUGAUCCAUCGGGGGGGGGUGGGGGGUAAAUGUAGAAACUGAUCAUGUCAAUGUGUUACUAAUUGAUGUGAUUAGUCUGGGGGGGGGGGGGGUAAUGUAGUAAUAUAUGUGAUCAGUCUGGGGGUAAUGUAGAAACUGAUCAUGUCACUGUGUUACUAAUUGAUGUGAUCAGAAUGGGGGGGUAAUGUAGAAACUGAUCAUGUCAAUGUGUUACUAAUUGAUGUUAUCAGUCUGGGGGGGGGGGGGGGGUAGGGUAGUAAUAUAUGUGAUCAGUCUGGGGGUAAUGUAGAAACUGAUCAUGUCUUCUCUCUGAUCCUAGAUCUGUUAGAUGUUCUGUUGUAUACUUGAUGUACGCCUGAUUUAUCUGAUCAUUAAAAUACUGUACACUUUGAAGUGUGUGACUGAUCCCUAAUGUUAAAAUAGUGUACACUCUGAAGUCGGUGACUGGUCCCCCUGGAUCGGCCGGGUGGGUCCCUCCCCCGUAGUGGAUCGGCCGGGCCGGUGGCCUCCCCCGUUCGAGGACUCCAGGUUAAGAACCACUGUGUGCUGUAAUAGAUGACCAUCGUGAAUAUCUCCACAGCUCUCUGCUGCCCCCCUCUGGGCCUCAGAUGUAACAGCCACAUGUCUCUGACAGACGCUGGGCGAUAAUAGUGGUUACAUUUUCAGUAAGAAUUCACACACUAAAACAACAGGAUAUUUCAUUAAGUACAGUGAUGACCAGGGUGUAUUCUGGGAGAUAGCAGAGAGCUGAAGGCAGUUGUGUUCUCUGGUCUGAAGGCUGGUCGCGUUCUCUGGUCUGAAGGCUGGUCGCGUUCUCUGGUCUGAAGGCUGGCCGUGUUCUCUGGUCUGAAGGCUGGCCGUGUUCUCUGGUCUGAAGGCUGGCCGUGUUCUCGGGUCUGAAGGCUGGCCGUGUUCUCUGGUCUGAAGGCUGGCCGUGUUCUCUGGUCUGAAGGCUGGCCGUGUUCUCUGGUCUGAAGGCUGGCCGUGUUCUCUGGUCUGAAGGCUGGCCGUGUUCUCUGGUCUGAAGGCUGGCCGUGUUC